UUUGAAAGAGAGUUAAAGAGUACCUGAAACUGCUGAAAGGGAACCGAAUCGUAUCCAGUGUCUAUAAUCCAUGGCAUAUUUCAUUGGCGAGUGAGUGCGUGCAGCGUUUUGGAAGUGGUUUUCCGCUCCUGUCGUUGUUGUGCGUUUGCUUGCUGGUGCCCUGUGCUGUGGUGGGACGUCAGAGUCAGUUUGUGUGCUGCGGGAAAUGGUUAUUGGGGAGGUAGGUCGCUUCGGUGGCUAUUAUAUCCUGGUAACUAGUCGUCGUGGCUGAGACUGAGGUGCCUACAAUGUGCUUUCGAGUGUGCGGAUUUCUCGUGUGGCUGUUUGCUUUGAUAGCUUGCUAUGUUGGUGAAUAAGUUGUGCGAUUGAGACCUGGAUUA
rnacentral:rRNA from 2 species